rnacentral:tRNA from 1 species
GAAGGUAUAGCUAAGUGGCAGAGUGUGUGCUUAGCAUGCACGAGGUUCUGGGUUCAAUCCCCAGUACCUCUG